UAUUAGCAGAUUUGAGAAGAAGGGAUUUUACUUGAAAAGGUAACUUCUUUUGUUUUUGUUACUACUUAACACACGUGCUAACAAUUUAGCUUAGAAACUCCACAAAUUUUUAGCCUUAUGCCUAAAGGCACUAUGCUGACUUAUCUAAAAAGCCUUUCUUUAAUGGAUUGGUCUAAUACACUAUCUCUGGUUCUAUUGUUGCCAUGGUCUGGGAGGGUAAAGAUGUUGUUGCAACUGGCCAAAAGUUGAUUGGAGCAACAAACCCCUUGGCAUCUGAGCAUGGAACUAUCCAUGGUGACUUUGCCGUUGCAUUAGAAGGGGUAUUAUAGGCGAGGUGCAGCUCAUCUUGCUAUGGGAAAAUUCAAGGAGGCUCUAAAAGAUCUUCAGCAGGUCAAGAAAAUGUGCCCAAAUGACACUGAUGCAUCAAAGAAAUUGAAGGAGUGUGAAAAAGCUGUUAUGAAACUUAAAUUUGAAGAAGCAAUUGCUGUGCCAGAGCAUCAAGGACGUCCAAUAGCCGACUCCAUAGAUUUCCAUUCUAUAGGUACUAUGUUAAAUAUGGCAUCUGUUUAAAGUUUUGUUAGCAAUAAUUCAAAAAUAGAAAGUGUGUUGAGCAAAUAUGGAUACUUGUGUACCACAUCUUUGUGCAGACAAAGAGUGGGACUCCAGAAAAGAAUUUAUGUUCUUAGAGAAUGAUUAACUUGAAAAGAAAGUUAAGUUUCGUUAAUGAUGUGGAUUGUGUA